ensembl:lncRNA
UAUCAAAACCCACAGAAUGAACAACACCAAGAAUGAAUCCUAGUGUAAACAACAGGUUUUGUGUGAUAAUGAUGUGUUCAUGAAAGCCAAUGUGGAAUCAUGGAAAGAACACAGAUGUGAAGCCUGGUUCCAGCCUUGAGUCAAGCACUUCACCACCUGGGUGGUCCUGGACGUGUCAAUUCCCUCUCCUGGGUCCCAUUUUCUUCUACUGAAGCAUGAAGGAGCCACACUGGACUAAACAUGACUAAACAUGAGCCCCACAAAAUGAAAUGCUGAAAAAAAGUUGAUUUGUGGUCGAAUAACUGUGAUGAGAAAAAAUACAGGACAUCCGGUCCUCAAUAGAGACUAGAAUAACCAACCUGGUAAGCCAUCCAGUAGAUAAAAACUUGUCAAGCAGGAAAGAAUAUUGUUAGAUGUUGGGACUACAAACUAAACACCAAAGAGUAGAAAAAGUAAAGGCAAGAAACCAA